AUUGAACGCUGGCGGCAGGCUUAACACAUGCAAGUCGAGCGGAGAUGAGGUGCUUGCACCCUAUCUUAGCGGCGGACGGGUGAGUAAUGCUUAGGAAUCUGCCUAUUAGUGGGGGACAACAUUCCGAAAGGAAUGCUAAUACCGCAUACGCCCUACGGGGGAAAGCAGGGGAUCUUCGGACCUUGCGCUAAUAGAUGAGCCUAAGUCGGAUUAGCUAGUUGGUGGGGUAAAGGCCUACCAAGGCGACGAUCUGUAGCGGGUCUGAGAGGAUGGUCCGCCACACUGGGACUGAGACACGGCCCAGACUCCUACGGGAGGCAGCAGUGGGGAAUAUUGGACAAUGGGCGGAAGCCUGAUCCAGCCAUGCCGCGUGUGUGAAGAAGGCCUUUUGGUUGUAAAGCACUUUAAGCGAGGAGGAGGCUACCUGGAUUAAUACUCUAGGAUAGUGGACGUUACUCGCAGAAUAAGCACCGGCUAACUCUGUGCCAGCCGCCGCCGUAAGAC
rnacentral:rRNA from 1 species